GACGAACCGUGCGAACGUUAUUCGGAAUCACUGGGCUUAAAGCGCGUGUAGGCGGCCCGGCACGUCCGUCGCUGAAAUCCCCCGGCUCAACCGGGGAAGGGGCGUGGAUACGGCCGGGCUGGAGGGGGGUAGGGGGAGCCGGAACUUCCGGUGGAGCGGUGAAAUGCGUUGAGAUCGGAAGGAACGCCCGUGGCGAAAGCGGGCUCCUGGACCACACCUGACGCUGAGACGCGAAAGCCAGGGGAGCGAACGGG
rnacentral:rRNA from 1 species